rnacentral:lncRNA from 1 species
UGUAAGUGGCUGUCAGGUUCGGGGUUUACACAAAGCUGUGGCUGUGUUCUAGUCAUACUUUACGUGAUUUAGAAAGACUGCAAACAUUGGAACUAGAAGCCUAUUGUUUUCUUAUUUUCUUGAGAAAUUGGUGAUGACCUCAAAGAUACUUUUUGCAAGCCAUGAUAGGAGACCUGGUGAAGAGCCACAGCAGGACAGUUUUUUCAUCCAGCCGGGAGAUGUGAAUGUACCGGAAGAUGUUAUUUAUAGUUAUACCUUAGUUCACCCACAAAGGAUAAAGAAGAAUGUUUCUUCUCUCAAAAGGCUUCUGAAUGGAGAAUUCUUAGUCUACAGCCAUGCACAUCUCAUCAGAGUCUACCUCCCUUCCUGUUGCUUUAAGAAAUCACAAACUUAAUUAAAGGAAGUUAAUACCCACAACUCAU